ACGGCCAUAAGUUAAUGGUAAACUAAUCGUCUUCCAAACGAAUAAUACCGAUUCGAAUUCGGUUGGCCGUA
rfam:Endocarpon pusillum Z07020 unplaced genomic scaffold C718735, whole genome shotgun sequence.